AAAGAAACCAACAGGGAUUGCCCUAGUAACGGCGAGUGAAGCGGCAACAGCUCAAAUUUGAAAUCUGGCUCUCGGGCCCGAGUUGUAAUUUGUAGAGGAUGCUUUUGAUGCGGUGCCUUCCGAGUUCCCUGGAACGGGACGCCAUAGAGGGUGAGAGCCCCGUCUGGUUGGAUGCCAAAUCUCUGUAAAGCUCCUUCGACGAGUCGAGUAGUUUGGGAAUGCUGCUCUAAAUGGGAGGUAUAUGUCUUCUAAAGCUAAAUACCGGCCAGAGACCGAUAGCGCACAAGUAGAGUGAUCGAAAGAUGAAAAGCACUUUGAAAAGAGAGUUAAAAAGUACGUGAAAUUGUUGAAAGGGAAGCGUUUAUGACCAGACUUGGGCUUGGUUAAUCAUCUGGGGUUCUCCCCAGUGCACUUUUCCAGUCCAGGCCAGCAUCAGUUUUCGCCGGGGGAUAAAGGCUUCGGGAAUGUGGCUCUCUCCGGGGAGUGUUAUAGCCCGUUGCGUAAUACCCUGGCGGGGACUGAGGUUCGCGCAUCUGCAAGGA
rnacentral:rRNA from 1 species